rnacentral:rRNA from 1 species
CGUAACUAUAACGGUCCUAAGGUAGCGAAAUUCCUUGUCGGGUAAGUUCCGACCUGCACGAAUGGCGUAAUGAUGGCCAGGCUGUCUCCACCCGAGACUCAGUGAAAUUGAACUCGCUGUGAAGAUGCAGUGUACCCGCGGCAAGACGGAAAGACCCCGUGAACCUUUACUAUAGCUUGACACUGAACAUUGAGCCUUGAUGUGUAGGAUAGGUGGGAGGCUUUGAAGUGUGGACGCCAGUCUGCAUGGAGCCGACCUUGAAAUACCACCCUUUAAUGUUUGAUGUUCUAACGUUGACCCGUAAUCCGGGUUGCGGACAGUGUCUGGUGGGUAGUUUGACUGGGGCGGUCUCCUCCUAAAGAGUAACGGAGGAGCACGAAGGUUGGCUAAUCCUGGUCGGACAUCAGGAGGUUAGUGCAAUGGCAUAAGCCAGCUUGACUGCGAGCGUGACGGCGCGAGCAGGUGCGAAAGCAGGUCAUAGUGAUCCGGUGGUUCUGAAUGGAAGGGCCAUCGCUCAACGGAUAAAAGGUACUCCGGGGAUAACAGGCUGAUACCGCCCAAGAGUUCAUAUCGACGGCGGUGUUUGGCACCUCGAUGUCGGCUCAUCACAUCCUGGGGCUGAAGUAGGUCCCAAGGGUAUGGCUGUUCGCCAUUUAAAGUGGUACGCGAGCUGGGUUUAGAACGUCGUGAGACAGUUCGGUCCCUAUCUGCCGUGGGCGCUGGAGAACUGAGGGGGGCUGCUCCUAGUACGAGAGGACCGGAGUGGACGCAUCACUGGUGUUCGGGUUGUCAUGCCAAUGGCACUGCCCGGUAGCUAAAUGCGGAAGAGAUAAGUGCUGAAAGCAUCUAAGCACGAAACUUGCCCCGAGAUGAGUUCUCCCUGACUCCUUGAGAGUCCUGAAGGAACGUUGAAGACGACGACGUUGAUAGGCCGGGUGUGUAAGCGCAGCGAUGCGUUGAGCUAACCGGUACUAAUGAACCGUGAGGCUUAACCUUACAACGCCGAAGCUGUU